GUGUGCAGACGUUGUUAAUAGAAUCCGGGGAGUGCUUGGCGGGAGAGGGGAUUUUCGGGCUGUCAGGGAGAUGAACUACAGGAGCAGUUCGAUUUCUUCAGCUGCUAAGGCUUCUGCCAGGGCAUUUGAUUUCGGAAGGACCCAUGUGGUUCGACCCAAGGGAAGGCAUUUGGCCACUGUCGUGUGGCUUCAUGGCCUAGGUGAUAAUGGAGCAAGAUUUUAGUUGAUACACAAGGAGAGCGCCAUUUCAGAGCUGAAGUUGGAACUAUCAGUCGUGCACACCAUUGCCAUUUGGUUUCUCUUGUAGGAUACUGUGUAUCAGAGAAUCAGAGAUUGCUCGUCUAUAAUUAUGUGCCCAAUAGAACUCUUUAUUACCAUCA